UUUAUAAAAGCCCAAACUUUCAAAAUCACAGCAAUGGCUUCGCGUUUCCAGGCGAUAACACUGGUGGAUUCACCAUCGUACCCUAACUCCAUCGCCUGGUCCGACGAGAACCUGAUUGCCGUAGCAUCCGGUCACCUCGUUACUAUUCUCAAUCCUGCAUUGCCCUUUGGACCUCGAGGCCUGAUCAGUAUUCCCAAGACUGAACCUUACCCCAUUGUGGU